UACGUAGGGUCCAAGCGUUAUCCGGAAUCACUGGGCGUAAAGCGUGCGUAGGUGGCGUGUUAAGUGUGAUGUUAAAUCGUGUGGCUCAACCAUAUCGAUGUGUCGCAUACUGGCAUGCUAGAGGGAAGCAGAGGCAAGUGGAAUUUGUAGUGUAGCAGUGAAAUGCGUAGAUAUUACAAGGAACACCAAUGGCGAAAGGCAGCUUGCUGGGCUUCUUCUGACACUGAGGUACGAAAGCGUGGGGAGCGAACAGG
rnacentral:rRNA from 1 species